GACAGUGGCUGCACCCAAGGGUGAGUGCCCGAUAGUGUCCGAACUCAGAAGCUAAGCAGGACCGUGCUUAAUUAGUACUUUGAUGGGAGAGCAACUUGGAAGACCAAGGAUCACUAGCC
rnacentral:rRNA from 12 species